rnacentral:rRNA from 1 species
GGGUCAGUAGGUUGGUCGUGCCACCGGUACGUACUGGUCUCACUGAUUCCUCCUUCCUGAAGAACCGUAAUGCCAUUAAUUUGGUGUUGCGGGGAAACAGGACUGUUACUUUGAAAAAAUUAGAGUGUUUAAAGCAAGCUAACGCUUGAAUACGUUAGCAUGUAAUAAUGAAAUAGGACGAUCGAUCCUAUUUUGUUGGUUUCUAGGAUUGACGUA